rnacentral:misc_RNA from 1 species
AACGCACGAGACCUGCGGACCUGCGGAAGGAUCAUUAAUGAGAAGCUGCCCCUCGUGGGUAGACCUCCCACCCUCUGUGAACUUACCUUUGUUGCUUUGGCAGGCCCGUCCUCUGGACCGCCGGCUUCGGCUGGCCCGUGCCUGCCAGAGGAUUCCAAACCCUGUCUGUCAGUGUUGUCUGAGUCUAUAUGAAAUCGUUAAAACUUUUAACAAUGGAUCUCUAGAUCGGAAGAGCACACG